rnacentral:rRNA from 1 species
GGUUGACCUCGAAUCAGGUAGGACUACCCGCUG